CAGCCGCCGCGGGAAAACAGAGUGUGCGAGCGUUAAUCGGAUUUACUGGGCGUAAAGCGUGCGUAGGCGGCUUUUUAAGUCGGAUGUGAAAUCCCUGAGCUUAACUUAGGAAUUGCAUUCGAUACUGGGAAGCUAGAGUAUGGGAGAGGAUGGUAGAAUUCCAGGUGUAGCGGUGAAAUGCGUAGAGAUCUGGAGGAAUACCGAUGGCGAAGGCAGUUAUCUGGCCUAAUACUGACGCUGAGGUACGAAAGCAUGGGGAGCAAACAGGAUUAGAUACCCCAGUAGUCCCUGUCUCUUAUAC
rnacentral:rRNA from 1 species